AUUGAACGCUGGCGGCACGCCUAACACAUGCAAGUCGAGCGGCAGCGAGAGUAGUAGCAAUACUACUUGUCGGCGAGCGGCGGACGGGUGAGGAACACGUAGGAAUCUACCCAGAAGAGGGGGAUAACCAAGGGAAACUUUGGCUAAUACCGCAUAAUCUCGAGAGAGAAAAGCUGCCCGCAAGGGUGGCGCUUUUGGAGGAGCCUGCGUCCGAUUAGCUAGUUGGUAGGGUAAAGGCCUACCAAGGCGAUGAUCGUCAACUUGUCUGAGAGGACGACCAGUAACACUGGGAAUGCGACACGGCCCAGAAUCCUACGGGAGGCAGCAGUGGGGAAUAUUGGACAAUGGGGGCAACCCUGAUCCAGCGAUGCCGCGUGAGUGAAGAAGGCCUUCGGGUCGUAAAGCUCUUUAGGUUGGGAAGAAGGUUGUAGGGGUAAUAUCCUUGCAAUUUGACGGUACCGACAGAAUAAGCACCGGCAAACUCUGUGCCAGCAGCCGCGGUAA
rnacentral:rRNA from 1 species